AUUGAACGCUGGCGGCAGGCCUAACACAUGCAAGUCGAGCGGAUGACGGGAGCUUGCUCCUUGAUUCAGCGGCGGACGGGUGGGUAAUGCCUAGGAAUCUGCCUGGUAGUGGGGGACAACGUUUCGAAAGGAACGCUAAUACCGCAUACGUCCUACGGGAGAAAGCAGGGGACCUUCGGGCCUUGCGCUAUCAGAUGAGCCUAGGUCGGAUUAGCUUGUUGGUGAGGUAAUGGCUCACCAAGGCGACGAUCCGUAACUGGGCUGAGAGGAUGAUCAGUCACACUGGAACUGAGACACGGUCCAGACUCCUACGGGAGGCAGCAGUGGGGAAUAUUGGACAAUGGGCGAAAGCCUGAUCCAGCCAUGCCGCGUGUGUGCAGAAGGUCUUCGGAUUGUAAAGCACUUUAAGUUGGGAGGAAGGGUUGUAGAUUAAUACUCUGCAAUUUUGACGUUACCGACAGAAUAAGCACCGGCUAACUCUGUGCCAGCAGCCGCCGUAACAC
rnacentral:rRNA from 1 species